AAUGAACGUUGGCGGCGUGGAUUAGGCAUGCAAGUCGAGCGCGAACCGUAGCAAUACGGGGAGAGCGGCGAAAGGGAGAGGAAUACGUGGAUACCUACCCUCAGGUUCAGGAUAGCUAUGGGAAACUAUAGGUAAUACUGAAUAAUAUCUCCGGAUCAAAGGUGUGAUUCCACCUGAGGAGGGGUCCGCGUCCUAUUAGCUAGUUGGUGAGGUAACGGCUCACCAAGGCGAAGAUGGGUACGGGAUGUGAGAGCAUGAUCCCGCUCACUGGGACUGAGACACUGCCCAGACACCUACGGGUGGCUGCAGUCGAGAAUCUUCGGCAAUGGGGGAAACCCUGACCGAGCGACGCCGCGUGCGAGAUGAAGGCCUUCGGGUUGUAAAUCGCUGUCAGUGGGGAGGAAAGUGCCAGU
rnacentral:rRNA from 1 species